rnacentral:rRNA from 1 species
GACACCUACGGGAGGCAGCAGUAGGGAAUCUUCCACAAUGGACGAAAGUCUGAUGGAGCAACGCCGCGUGAGUGAAGAAGGGUUUCGGCUCGUAAAGCUCUGUUGGGAGUGAAGAAAGAUGGAGGUAGUAACUGGCCUUUAUAUGACGGUAAUUACUUAGAAAGUCACGGCUAACUACGUGCCAGCAGCCGCGGUAAUACGUAGGUGGCAAGCGUUGUCCGGAUUUAUUUGGCGUAAAGCGAGGGCAGGCGGGUCAAUAAGUCUUGUGUGAAAACCCUCCGCUCCACC